rnacentral:rRNA from 1 species
UACGAAGGGUGCAAGCGUUACUCGGAAUUACUGGGCGUAAAGCGUGCGUAGGUGGUUUGUUAAGUCUGAUGUGAAAGCCCUGGGCUCAACCUGGGAAUUGCAUUGGAUACUGGCGAGCUAGAGUGCGGUAGAGGAUGGUGGAAUUCCCGGUGUAGCGGUGAAAUGCGUAGAGAUCGGGAGGAACACCCGUGGCGAAGGCGGCCAUCUGGACCAGCACUGACGCUGAGGCACGAAAGCGUGGGGAGCAAACAGG